CCUUACCUGGGACCAGAAAGUGCGAUAGUUCGGCAUUUUGUAAGCUAGCAGCAUUACCGCCAAAAAAAGGAAAAUAAGGACGCAAAUUCUCCACGUGCAGUAUUUUCAUUUCUGGGUGGCGGAAGAAAGGUUGUCUUACACCAAAAAAAAUCAAUUAGCUGAGCUGUAAUUGAUUGUUUUAGGCUCCGCUCGCGUAGCAGCUGUUUGCUGUGUGCUUGUGGUUUUCACAUUUCUCCCUGUCUUUCAGUCCGCAAUGGCCAGCUGACUGCGUUUGAGCACCGAGCUGUCUUUGUGGUAAAAGGUCAGGUUGUUGAUGGUGGCGGCCACGUUCACGAUCAACUCCUCGCUCUCCUGCACGGACCUCAGCUCUGACAUGGACACACACAAGAGAUGUCAGACGUCUUGUCAUGCUGGAUGCAGGUGGUGUUGCUGGCCAGCGCCGCGCCCACAUCAGGAUGGAUGCACAUGUUCGCCAGCACCCUGACCAGCUUCACCAGCACAUCCUCGCCCUCCCGUACGCUGGCCGCAGUGGGAGCCGGCGAGUCCUCCCUCAGCUGGUAGUCGUCGUACAGCCGCAGGAGGGUGUCCACGCAAUCCUCGCAGCGGAAGAGCUGCUGCCGAGCCUCGUCGCUUUUGGCCGUGAGGUUGCCCAGUGUGAAGAGGAGUCGCACUACGAGGUCCUGUGGGAGAGAGAUUCUAGAAACAUUGGUGCAGACAUCUUGGUCCUGGCGAUGGCGUUGCAGCACCAAGCAGAGCUGUGACAUCAGUGCGUAGGAGACAAAGAGCGGACGGGCCUCAGGUUGAUCAGCAAGGUUCCUCAAGGCGGCCGUCAGCUAAAGAGGUCAAAAGUCAGACAAAGAAGUGGAGUGGCUGUGAGCAGCAGAGCACUAACAACAGAGCCUGCACCUGCACAAAGAUGUGUCCGGCCAUUGUAAAGAGGCGUACGAUCGCAGCAUUUCCUGAGAGAAACUUCAGCGUGCCGACACAGUAAAACAACGCUUCUCCAGAUGUAGACACCUCCUCGCGGAGCAACAGUCCAAGUAGAAAGUCUAGAUGGAAGGGAACCAUCCAGUUAACCUUCAUGUGGUGCCAGCCUGUGCUCAUGAAACAGAAUUGAGUUCACCUAUGACAGAGUUGUUCUGGAAGAGGCUGUCAUUGGAUUCAUUGCGGCUGGUCUGGAAGACGAGCUUACAGAUGUUGAGCAGGUUGUUCCCGCUGACACGCAACUGAAAUAAAAGAUGUAAAAGCAAAUAAAAUGACAGGCUUUUUGUGAACAAGCAUCCUAAUGGAGGACUUUGAAGACUGACGGCGAGGCAGAGCUCGGCGACAUGAAGAUCAAGCCGCGAGGAGUUGAGGUCGAUGAGCUGAAACAGGGUUCGCAGUAUGGUGGAGCGCUUCUUGCAGCCAUGAUGGCCCAGCAUGCCAGCCUCUGCCAGGGCGUCAUGGAGAUUGGCACACAAGUCACACAGACGCUCCAGCGAGGCCUCAGAGCUCCCUGGGGGGAUUGUAUUGAAAAUAAGCGUCUGUUAAGUUUGAAUGUAUGUGAGCAAAACUGAAUGAACAGUGUUGAGCUCUAACAACAUCCUCCCUUUUCUAGGAAACGUCAGUGGAGUGGCACAAUUCCAAGGGAAAGGGUGAACUUGUUCCUUGUUUUUGAGGUAAAGUAAAAAGUGUUUCGAAAGCGAGAUGCCCCAAUUACAUUUUUUUUUAUCACAGGACGUUUGGUAGAAUAAAUAUUCACUGUUGAUCUUAAAAGUUCCCACAUUCGUUGUGUUGAUCGACAGUUUGUAAAGUAUGUUUAUAUUCAAGGCUGCCAGCAAUUUGAAGCACACGAGCAAAAAUAUUUUGUUUUCCAUUGAAAAGACAUUGCUGCGUUCUGUGGGGGGGACUUUGAUGAUGUCAACAUCAUUUAGAUCAAAUAGAUAAUUUAAGGCCAGCGUGUUGCACAAUAUUGACUUUUUAUCAGUUUUCACUUAUUAUUGUGUAGCUCUUACCACUUGCAGCUGUAGCCUUUAGCUCCUGGAGAAGAGGCGCUAUCCUAUCCCACUUUGACUCU